rnacentral:tRNA from 1 species
GGGGAUGUAGUAUAACCUGGCAUUAUUUCCGGCUCCAGACCGGACGAUUAGGGUUCAAAUCCCUACAUCCCCA